GAUGAACGCUGGCGGCGUGCCUAAUACAUGCAAGUCGAGCGAACGGACGAGAAGCUUGCUUCCUUGAUGUUAGCGGCGGACGGGUGAGUAACACGUGGAUAACCUACCUAUAAGACUGGGAUAACUUCGGGAAACCGGAGCUAAUACCGGAUAAUAUUUUGAACCGCAUGGUUCAAAAGUUAAAGACGGUCUUGCUGUUACUUAUAGAUGGUUCCGCGCUGCAUUAGCUAGUUGGUAAGGUAACGGCUUACCAAGGCAACGAUGCAUAGCCGACCUGAGAGGUUGAUCGGCCACACUGGAACUGAGACACGGUCCAGACUCCUACGGGAGGCAGCAGUAGGGAAUCUUCCGCAAUGGGCGAAAGCCUGACGGAGCAACGCCGCGUGAGUGAUGAAGGUCUUCGGAUCGUAAAACUCUGUUAUUAGGAAAGAACAGAUGUGGAAGUAACUGUGCACAUCUUGACGGUACCUGAUCAGAAAGCAACGGCUAACUACGUG
rnacentral:rRNA from 1 species